CCUACGGGAGGCAGCAGUGAGGAAUAUUGGUCAAUGGGCGCGAGCCUGAACCAGCCAAGUAGCGUGAAGGAUGACUGCCCUACGGGUUUUAAACUUCGUUUAUAAAGGAAUAAAGUGGGGCACGUGUGCCUUUUUGUCUGUACUUUACGAAUUAGGAUCGGCUAACUCCGUGCCAGCAGCCGAGGUAAUACGGAGGAUCCGAGCGUUAUCCGGAUUUAUUGGGUUUAAAGGGAGCGUAGAUGGGGUGUUAAGUCAGUUGUGAAAGUUUGCGGCUCAACCGUAAAAUUGCAAUUGAUACUGGCAGCCGUGAGUACAGUUGAGGUAGGCGGAAUUCGUGGUGUAGCGGUGAAAUGCUUAGAUAUCACGAAGAACUCCGAUUGCGAAGGCAGCUUACUAAACUGCCACUGACAUUGAUGCUCGAAAGUGUGGGUAUCAAACAGGAUUAGAUACCCUGGUAGUC
rnacentral:rRNA from 1 species